GGGGCUAGGACAGGAACUUCAUGGAAGGGUGGUCAGCACUGAGAUGGGGGCAGGCCAGGGCAAAGGAGAUGCCAGAAGCAGGGAGUGAAGAGGGAGUUCAGGGCCUCAGGUGAGGGCUCCUUUCCGUGCAGAACGGGCCAAAGAAACACAUCCCAGACUCACUGACCAGGGAGGACCGAGGACACCAGGGGCGCGUCUGUGAGUUGUUUUGUUUUGUUUUGUUUUGGCAUAGGCUCUGUUUUACACUUACGGACGGUAAGCCCAUGAGACACCCCUGUUCUCAAGGGCGGGGACCAGGCCUGCCCCCUGGCAAGGUCCUCAUGCUUAGAACUCAGCCGCUUAGCACAGGUUGAGUCUCCCUUAUCCAAAUGCUUGGGGCUGCAGUGAUUUGGAUUUCCGACUGUUUUGGAUUUUGGCAUAUUUGCAUAAGGGAUAUCUUGGGGAUGGCACCCAAGUCGAAACCCAAAAUUCAUUUAUGUUUCAUAUGCGCUGUCUAUACGCAGCCUGAAGGUAACAGGUAACGUGUCUCCCCUCAGGGACGCUGCAGCAAGUGUGUGUUGUGCGCCUGAGUUUCGAGCUGUGCGUGGAAUUUUCUGCUCGUGGCCUUGUGACGGUGCUCGGAAAAUUUCCGAUUCUUGAGUAUCUCAGAUUUCAGAUUUUCAGGUUAGGGAAGUUUCACUUCUCAGCAACUGUCUGUGGACCCGAGGCCUGUGGUGUGGGGGCAUGGAGAGGCUGGCACCUGCAGGGC
rnacentral:lncRNA from 1 species